GAUGAACGCUGGCGGCGUGCCUAAUACAUGCAAGUCGAGCGAACAGACGAGGAGCUUGCUCCUUUGACGUUAGCGGCGGACGGGUGAGUAACACGUAGGUAACCUACCUAUAAGACUGGGAUAACUUCGGGAAACCGGAGCUAAUACCGGAUAAUAUUUCGAACCGCAUGGUUCGAUAGUGAAAGAUGGCUUUGCUAUCACUUAUAGAUGGACCUGCGCCGUAUUGGCUAGUUGGUAAGGUAACGGCUUACCAAGGCAACGAUGCGUAGCCGACCUGAGAGGGUGAUCGGCCACACUGGAACUGAGACACGGUCCAGACUCCUACGGGAGGCAGCAGUAGGGAAUCUUCCGCAAUGGGCGAAAGCCUGACGGAGCAACGCCGCGUGAGUGAUGAAGGUCUUCGGAUCGUAAAACUCUGUUAUUAGGGAAGAACAAACGUGUAAGUAACUGUGCACGUCUUGACGGUACCUAAUCAGAAAGCCACGGCUAACUACGUG
rnacentral:rRNA from 1 species